rnacentral:rRNA from 1 species
CCUACGGGUGGCAGCAGUGGGGGAUAUUGCACAAUGGGGGAAACCCUGAUGCAGCGACGCCGCGUGUGGGAAGACGGUCCUCUGGAUUGUAAACCACUGUCCCCAGGGACGAAGAUGACGGUACCUGGGGAGGAAGCUCCGGCUAACUACGUGCCAGCAGCCGCGGUAAUACGUAGGGAGCGAGCGUUGUCCGGAAUUACUGGGUGUAAAGGGAGCGUAGGCGGGCGAGAAAGUUGAAUGUUAAAUCUACCGGCUUAACUGGUAGCUGCGUUCAAAACUUCUUGUCUUGAGUGAAGUAGAGGCAGGCGGAAUUCCUAGUGUAGCGGUGAAAUGCGUAGAUAUUAGGAGGAACACCAGUGGCGAAGGCGGCCUGCUGGGCUUUAACUGACGCUGAGGCUCGAAAGCGUGGGGAGCAAACAGGAUUAGAUACCCUAGUAGUC